rnacentral:rRNA from 1 species
GGGGAAUCUUGCACAAUGGGGGAAACCCUGAUGCAGCGACACCGCGUGAACGAUGAAGCCCUUCGGGGUGUAAAGUUCUUUCGACAGGAACGAUAAUGACGGUACCUGGAGAAGAAGCUGCGGCUAACUACGUGCCAGCAGCCGCGGUAAUACGUAGGCAGCGAGCGUUGUUCGGAGUUACUGGGCGUAAAGAGUGAGUAGGCGGCGAGCCAAGUUUGGUGUGAAAUCUCCCGGCUUAACCGGGAGGGUGCGCCGAAAACUGGUUGACUGGAGUAUGGGAGAGGACAGCGGAAUUCCUGGUGUAGCGGUGAAAUGCGUAGAUAUCAGGAGGAACACCUGCGGUGUAGACAGCUUUCUGGACCAAAACUGACGCUGAGGCACGAAAGCGUGGGUAGCAAACA